rnacentral:rRNA from 1 species
UACGAACCGUACAAAACGUUUAUUUCGGAAUCACUGGGCUUAAAGGGGUGCGUAGGCGGCCCAUGUAAAGUGGGGGGUGUGAGAUCCCCCUCGGCUCAACCCGAGGAACUGCGCUCCAUACUGCAUGGCUUUGAGGGGAGACAGGGGGGUAAGCGGAACUGAUGGUGGGAGCGGUGAAAAUGCGUUUGAUAUCAUCAGGAACACCGGGUUGGCGAAAGCGGCUUACUGGGUCUC